rnacentral:ribozyme from 12 species
UUUUUUUUUUUUUUUUUUUUGUUUUUUUUUUUUUUUUUUUUUUUUACAGCAAAUUGGACGGCAUUCAUCUUACUCUGUAGAAAAUGACCAUGGAUUCAUCAAAGAUAUAA